UACGUAGGGUGCAGGCGUUAAUCGGAAUUACUGGGCGUAAAGCGUGCGCAGGCGGCCUCUUAAGUCAGAUGUGAAAUCCCCAGGCUUAACCUGGGAACUGCGUUUGAAACUGGGAGGCUUGAGUGUGGAAGAGGGGGGUGGAAUUCCAGGUGUAGCAGUGAAAUGCGUAGAGAUCUGGAGGAACACCGAUGGCGAAGGCAGCCCCCUGGGCUUACACUGACGCUCAUGCACGAAAGCGUGGGGAGCAAACAGG
rnacentral:rRNA from 1 species